CUGACCUCAGUAAGGCGAGACGCAUUUAUUUACAUGGCGCAUUUCAUACAAAAGGUAACUCAAUGUGCUUUACAUGAUUAAAAACAUUGAAAAACAAAGACAAACAACUUCUAAACAUUUAAGACGAGAAAAAAGAUCAAUGAAAACAGCGUACAGUGCAAGAAAGAUAACUUAAAUGUGGAAAUGCUCUAAAAAAACAUUUUUAACCUGGACUUAAAAAAACAUUCUGACGUCACUUCUGUUGGCAACUUAUUCCAUUUGCGUGCAGCAUGACAGCCAAAUGCUGCUUCACCAUGUUUGCGUUGGACUCUGUGCUCCACUAUUUGACCCGAGUCUGUAGUUCUCGCAGCCCUACUGGGUUUAUAUGCCAUUAGCAUUUCUUUCAUGCAUUCAGGACCUAAACUAUUUCGUGAUUUAUAGACCAGCAGCAGAACUUUAAAAUCUAUUCUAAGGCCGACUAGGAGCCAGUGUAAAGACUUUAGAAUCGGAGGAAUUCUGGUCAGAACCCGAGCUGCAGCAUUCUGAAUGAGCUGCAGCUGUUUAAUGCUCUUUUUAGGGAGUCCAGUCAGAAGACCAUUACAAUAGUCAAGUCUACUUGAGAUAAAAGCAUGGAUGAGCUUCUCCUGGUCUGCUUGGCACAUGCAAGCCUUCACACUGGAAAUGUUCUUCAGCUGGUAGAAGGCUGUUUUAGUCAUUGAUGUGAUGUGACAGUUCCUGAGUUCACAGAUUCACAAAGUAACCACGAUUGUAAGAAGGAUCUAUAUAGAGUAUUCGAAAAACAAAUCAUAUGUGACCUUUCAUUGGAGAUUUUGCUUUUAUUUCUCAUGGAUGAUUGCACCCUUUUUCAAAGUAAUCCUUCACUGUCAGUCUGUCACAGUUUUAUAAAUAAAUGCCUGCCCAAGUUUGAACAAAGAGACCGCCAGUGAUGAAAGAUGUGCAAGAUUUCGGCAAAAACCUCCGUUAAGACUGUUCUGACAAGAUAAGAAAACAGCAGGACCAAACUCAGUGAUCAUUGUACUGAAGAUGGCAUGCCACAUUCGUCCUUAAAAAUGGAGCGAUCCACAGUGAGGAGCAGAUGAACGAGAAUCUUUUUAUGUACAAGACCGAGCCACUCUACUUAAGAUCAUCUCGAAAUGAAUGACUGAAAGGUUGGACUUUACAGUCAAAACUUUCACCAGCCAACUGUCAGUCCGCGGAUAUGAUUUGGCAGGAACCCAUUGGUAAUGUAUGAGAGAGUUUCAUAUUUAAAAUAGUAGCUUCUUCUUCAACAAUCGAAAUACCCUGGUGGCAAACUAAGCUUUUUUUUGUAUUUUUAUUUUUUUUCAAACAAAGGGAGAAGAGCAGAUAUUUUGGGCUGCAUUCCUUCUUUUUCAGAAACGUCCUCUGUGUUGCCAACAAACAACAAUUUUCCUGCGGCAUUAUACGUUGUGCCCGUUGGAAAACCCCAUAUGGCUCUCGAUAUAUAAUUUAUUACAUCAUAAAUUAACAAUCCCUACAUCGCCACGAUAUAGUCCACCAAAACUCAUGACAGUCGACCGCGCUCCGGGAAAGCUGGAAUAUAGGAAAGCAUCGAGGUGCGGUGACGCCAGCGUCAUGCAGCUGCUGAGUCUGACUGAAGAUUGCCAGACGUGGAGCUCAGUGAGGUCACAUGGGGCCUCGAGCCAAGCUUCAUGGAGAUAAAAUCCCACUCGGGGGCUGACAGAGUUGGGAGGAACCGGAAGAGAGGAUGAGUGGCUCGGUCACAUGUUCUCAGCGAGCAUUUCGUGUAGAAAAAGGAAAAAUGUUGAGCAUCAUACUAUUAUAAUAGAACAUAGUGGUAGUAUAACAAUAAAUGAUUAAGCUAGCAGGGAAUAAACAAACAAAGUAUUUAGUUUAUGAGUUAACAAAUCCGUUACUGGUUGGGCAAGACCCCCUAAAUAUUUAUACUUGAUCAUCGCAAGACAUUUAUGAAUUUUGUGUCCUACAUUUUCACAAAGCUUCUAGAAAGCCCUUUUCUUUCCUGCAGUGCAAAAAGAAAAUGUCAUGCUUGGAUGAGUUUGACGUGUAAGCCCUGACUUCAACCCCAUCAAACACUAUAUAUAUAAAAAAAAAUAAUAAAAAAAAACUUGAACAAAUUCCAUAUUUUAUCCAAUUUCAUUUUCUUUCUUUUUUUUGGUGUAUAAGGUGUGUAAUACUUCCACAUAGUCUAUGUUCAGUGUUGAGGAGUAACUAAUUACAUGUAACGAGAAUAUGUAAUUUAAUUACAAAAUGUAGGUCAUUGUAACGCAUGACAUUUCUGCGGGAAAAUGUGUCAUUAAAUUACAGUUGCUGUUGGGAAUGUCCGUGAUUACAAUUUUCGUUACCUUUGAAAAAUCCCUCCGUUGUUUUUUUUUUUCCAUCGAAAGCUAACACUUGUGAUUGGCUCUCUCUGGUCAUGUGCCAUCCUGCUGUAGUCGCAAACAUGACAUACUUUUCCAAAUAUGACCUUGAAUCGCCACCUUGUGGUACAAUCUAUGAGUUUGUCUGAGCUUUGGAAAAGAUAAGACUCAUAGUAAGACUUUUGAACACAUAAAAAGAAAAAACAUUCACAUAUAUUCAUAGUCAUAUGAAGCCAUAUUGUCUAAAUUGGCCACAUUUGUCAUUAGGUCAACAUGCUAUCAUGUUUUCCACAUGCUGGACACAUACAGAAUAUCUUAAUGUACUGUAUAUAUGUAUAAUGUAACACAGACAUUCAAUUAAAUUUCAUCAUGUUUGUUAA